GGCUGUAUGCAAUAAUAACACCAGGGCGGGCGGGCCGGCAAGCGUAGUUGCCAGGGCAGGCGCUGGGCUCGUCCCCCCAGCGGAGAGCAGAAGGCGAGAAGGAAAAAGCCUGCCCAGGCUGCAGGGGACGGUCGGUUCCACAUGGGCAGAACACAACGUGCUUUGUUUGCUCAAGAAAAUAUAUUUCCUCCAUCCCUCAUCUGAGCUACCAUCAAGACAAGGGCAAAAUAUUAAAACUCUAGGAAGAGUGCCAAAUGAUAGUCUUCAAGGGAGCCCUCACUGUGCUUGCCCCUGUUGGAAUCCCAUCCAUCCUUCAAGACCUAGUUCAAAUGCAGCCUGCUCUAUGAAGCAGUCAGAAAUAUGUAUUUCUUCAACAGACAUGUUCUCAAA